CGCCACUGCUUACUUCCAACCGCCUCCUCUAAACGAGGUUUAUUACCCCUUUGUUGUUGCGUGUCCACGGGGAUAAAAAAAAGAGGGUGCCCGUCGAUCCGCCCCCAAACAUGCCAGCGACGUAGUUGGACAAUUGAUAUCGGCAAUUCGGAGAAGAAAACGGCGACCCUGCCACCGGAGCCAAAGGACCACAAAACCCUCUUCACCGGGAGAUGUUUCCCAUCUUCACUGUCGCCAGCCUCCACCUGAUUGCUUUAUCACUGCAAACAACAAAUGCCUCCGCCGUAAACCUUUUCCAUAUAAUAUAUUUAAUAGUAAGUUACAGGUCAGAAAACGCUGAUACCAUCCCCAAAACUAAACCCCGUUCCUAUCCCCCAAACUCAAAGGUUCAUACAAAGACCAUUCAGUGCUUAAACACCGAGCCGAAGAGUGGAUAUGGCGGCACUCCCUUCAAUUUCAGAGAAACAGCAUCACCGCCUUCUUCUUCUCCUCCUCAUUAUCGUCUUAUUCGAAUUCCAUCAACAAUACCGAAAUUAACUUCCGUUCAAAAUGGUUCUCGCCUUCUUCUUCGUCUUCUUCCAAAAGAUCAGGAGUUGUUUUAUACUGCACUUGUAGUAGCAAUUCAGAUCAGAUUCAUUCGAACAAGAAGAAAUUCGAAGCAUCCUUACAUUUCGGCGGUGAAAACCUGUCGUCGGUCUACUUUCCAGCAACAAGGACCAACCUUCCUUCAUCUACAUUUUUUUUUGACAAAACUACAAAAUUGGUCCUUGUGGUUUACAAAAAUCUUUGGAUAGGGUCCAAAAAGUUUCCGACUUGCAUGGAAGGUCCAAAAUCGAAUACUUUCCGUGGUUUUAGUCCUAAAAUAAAGAAAUUUCUGUAUUUUUGGUCCUAGGGAAACCUAAAAGGACGAUUUUACCCUUCUAAUUUCCUUUUUGUAUUUUUUGUAUUUUUAUUUUAAUCUUUUAUUAAUUAAAAAUAGAAAAGAAAAGAAUGGACCCAUUUCACACACACACACACACACACACACUCUCUCUCUCUCUCUCUCUCUCUUCGAUGACCAAGAAGAUCACGACUCAGACUAUUCCUCUCCUUUCGUAUACUCCUCCCUAAACCCAAUGACACCACCAUGUUCCUUUAAACCUGUGGUCAUCGGCACCAUCGUCGGUCACCGUCGCAACCCUAUUUGGUUCGCAAUUUGUCCCGAUUAGCCCUUGAAUGCCAUAACUCACCAGAAUCGAUUCAAUCCACGAUUGUGGAUGUUGGCGUUAUCCCAUCUUUCCGAUUUGAAUCUGGAGGCGAUUCUGAACCCAGAAAAACCUAUCUAUCUCAUGUUCAAAUCAAUACAAUCUAUGAAUGCAUUAUGGAUGGACCAGAUUCUGAAUCUUUUCAUCUGAUUAAUCCAGAUGGGUUUCUUGGUUAAAAAGAAGAUAGGAGAGACAUGGAAGUCUUACCCUUCAAUCACAGGUUCAAGGUCCAACUGAACCAGAUGAAUCGAUUUGAAUCGAUUCAACACGGGUCUUGUAAAUUCUAGGGUUAACCGCCAUGGAUAUUGCAAAUCUAGGGCUUGUAAAGUUAAGAUUCACACCUGCAAAUUGAUUGUAGAGAUUUUGUGUAUGUAUAUAUCUAUGCAUGUGUGUUAAUUAGUGUAUAAGAGUUUUGAAUCAGGAAGAUGUCGAUAGAGAAAUGGAAGAUGAUGCAGGUUAAAGUAUGAUUUUGCAUGUGAAAGGGAGAAAGGAAGAUUGCAGGGGCGAUCUUGAAGUUUCAGUGCUCAUCGAAGUUCAGGUGUUCAUAGGAGAUCUUGGUUUCUAAAGAGAUGUACAUGCAUAAAAAAAUUUGUUUAGAAUUUUUUCUUAAGUUGCAGGUUUUGUAUGAGAGAGUAAAAGAGAGGGACAACGAGAAAGUCAAAUGGAAGAACGAUGGGGUUAUGUGUUGCUCUUUUGUUUUUUUUUUUAAUUUGAAGAAGAAGAAGAAGAAGAAGAAGAAGAGAGAGAGAGAGAGAGAGAGAGAGAGAGAGAGAGAGAGAGAAGGGGUACCGUGGGUGUAGUCAUGGAGAGGGGUGCGGUGAUAUUUUGUUAUUUUUUAUUUUUAUAUAAUUUUUUAAAUACUAAACUCAAUAAAAAAAAUAGAAAAAAGAAAUAAUAGGGGUAAAAUGGACAUUUCAAUAUUUUCAGGACCAAAACCAAAGAAAAACCUUGAUUUUGGACUAUCCAUGCAAGUUGGAAACUUUUUGGACCCUAUCCAAAGUUUUUUGAAUACCACAGGGACCAAUUUUACAGUUUUGUCUUUUUUUUUUAUAGAAAACUGCAUCUCCACCUUCCGAUUAAAUAUCAAAAGCAGAGGCCUCCAUCGAUCACAUAUCAAGUACAUUCAGUUAGGUCCCUUUUCCACAUCUCCCUCGAGUACACAUCAAAUUUCAAACUUUAUAGUGGAAGAAAUAUGGGUUUCAUCUUUGUCGAUCACACGAAUUAUAAAUGAUGCAAUCGGCCAUUCCAUAUAUCGACCGAAGAAAGAGACGUAAGCCAGAAAUUAAAGAACUAACAACAAUCACUAAAUGAGGAUAUAACAUCACAUACACGGAGAUUCACUGACAGAAAAUAACAGCAGUGACAGGGGUAAAUCAGGAACGUAAACAGUAUGUGACAACCGGCAAUAUUCUGGUCAAGUCAAAGUCAAGUGAAGGUCAACAAGUCAAUCUGGUCAACUCAACUAGUGCUUAUAUGUUAAGGAUUUCUUUAUGUUACUAAUGUACAACUACAAAUCCUAAUGCAAAGUAACACUUGGAAGUUCCAAAAUAUUCAAAAUUUAAAACGCUAAUCUGAUUUAGGGAA